GGUGAAAAGCACCCCGGAAGGGGAGUGAAAUAGAACCUGAAACCGUGUGCUUACAAGUAGUCAGAGCCCGUUAAUGGGUGAUGGCGUGCCUUUUGUAGAAUGAACCGGCGAGUUACGAUUUGAUGCAAGGUUAAGCAGUAAAUGUGGAGCCGUAGCGAAAGCGAGUCUGAAUAGGGCGUUUAGUAUUUGGUCGUAGACCCGAAACCAGGUGAUCUACCCUUGGUCAGGUUGAAGUUCAGGUAACACUGAAUGGAGGACCGAACCGACUUACGUUGAAAAGUGAGCGGAUGAACUGAGGGUAGCGGAGAAAUUCCAAUCGAACCUGGAGAUAGCUGGUUCUCUCCGAAAUAGCUUUAGGGCUAGCCUCAAGUGAUGAUUAUUGGAGGUAGAGCACUGUUUGGACGAGGGGCCCCUCUCGGGUUACCGAAUUCAGACAAACUCCGAAUGCCAAUUAAUUUAACUUGGGAGUCAGAACAUGGGUGAUAAGGUCCGUGUUCGAAAGGGAAACAGCCCAGACCACCAGCUAAGGUCCCAAAAUAUAUGUUAAGUGGAAAAGGAUGUGGCGUUGCCCAGACAACUAGGAUGUUGGCUUAGAAGCAGCCAUCAUUUAAAGAGUGCGUAAUAGCUCACUAGUCGAGUGACACUGCGCCGAAAAUGUACCGGGGCUAAACAUAUUACCGAAGCUGUGGAUUGUCCUUUGGACAAUGGUAGGAGAGCGUUCUAAGGGCGUUGAAGCAUGAUCGUAAGGACAUGUGGAGCGCUUAGAAGUGAGAAUGCCGGUGUGAGUAGCGAAAGACGGGUGAGAAUCCCGUCCACCGAUUGACUAAGGUUUCCAGAGGAAGGCUCGUCCGCUCUGGGUUAGUCGGGUCCUAAGCUGAGGCCGACAGGCGUAGGCGAUGGAUAACAGGUUGAUAUUCCUGUACCACCUAUAAUCGUUUUAAUCGAUGGGGGGACGCAGUAGGAUAGGCGAAGCGUGCGAUUGGAUUGCACGUCUAAGCAGUAAGGCUGAGUAUUAGGCAAAUCCGGUACUCAUUAAGGCUGAGCUGUGAUGGGGAGAAGACAUUGUGUCUUCGAGUCGUUGAUUUCACACUGCCGAGAAAAGCCUCUAGAUAGAAAAUAGGUGCCCGUACCGCAAACCGACACAGGUAGUCAAGAUGAGAAUUCUAAGGUGAGCGAGCGAACUCUCGUUAAGGAACUCGGCAAAAUGACCCCGUAACUUCGGGAGAAGGGGUGCUCUUUAGGGUUAACGCCCAGAAGAGCCGCAGUGAAUAGGCCCAAGCGACUGUUUAUCAAAAACACAGGUCUCUGCUAAACCGUAAGGUGAUGUAUAGGGGCUGACGCCUGCCCGGUGCUGGAAGGUUAAGAGGAGUGGUUAGCUUCUGCGAAGCUACGAAUCGAAGCCCCAGUAAACGGCGGCCGUAACUAUAACGGUCCUAAGGUAGCGAAAUUCCUUGUCGGGUAAGUUCCGACCCGCACGAAAGGCGUAACGAUUUGGGCACUGUCUCAACGAGAGACUCGGUGAAAUCAUAGUACCUGUGAAGAUGCAGGUUACCCGCGACAGGACGGAAAGACCCCGUGGAGCUUUACUGUAGCCUGAUAUUGAAAUUCGGCACAGCUUGUACAGGAUAGGUAGGAGCCUUUGAAACGUGAGCGCUAGCUUACGUGGAGGCGCUGGUGGGAUACUACCCUAGCUGUGUUGGCUUUCUAACCCGCACCACUUAUCGUGGUGGGAGACAGUGUCAGGCGGGCAGUUUGACUGGGGCGGUCGCCUCCUAAAAGGUAACGGAGGCGCUCAAAGGUUCCCUCAGAAUGGUUGGAAAUCAUUCAUAGAGUGUAAAGGCAUAAGGGAGCUUGACUGCGAGACCUACAAGUCGAGCAGGGUCGAAAGACGGACUUAGUGAUCCGGUGGUUCCGCAUGGAAGGGCCAUCGCUCAACGGAUAAAAGCUACCCCGGGGAUAACAGGCUUAUCUCCCCCAAGAGUUCACAUCGACGGGGAGGUUUGGCACCUCGAUGUCGGCUCAUCGCAUCCUGGGGCUGUAGUCGGUCCCAAGGGUUGGGCUGUUCGCCCAUUAAAGCGGUACGCGAGCUGGGUUCAGAACGUCGUGAGACAGUUCGGUCCCUAUCCGUCGUGGGCGUAGGAAAUUUGAGAGGAG
rnacentral:rRNA from 1 species